rnacentral:lncRNA from 1 species
AGUGAUCGGAAAUGUCUUGCCCAAGCCCCAUUCCCACUGGAAAAAGUCAAAAGGGUUCCUGGCAUUAACACGACCUUGCGUCAUUCCUGAUGAAAUUAGCAGAGCUACUUGUUUAGAGCUUUGCUAAGGAUGCACUUUGGUGACAGUAAGAAGUAAGAAAUUUGGGGUUUAACCCCACAUCUGAGCAGGAUCUGUCUGCUUUCACUAGCUGCAAAGCCUGAGACCAGCACUUGAAAGCGCUUUAGACCCGCAGUCCAUUUUUCACUUGUCUUUAAGUGCAAGCGAUGGGAAUUGCUAACCUCGGCUAAGAAAAUUUCAUUUUCCCCAUCUUGCUAAACGGUUCUGGUCGACAUAUGUUUGUUAUCAGAGAGAGGUGCUAUGAACACAGAGCCAUUUUCUUAGCAGCUCUUUGACUCUGUGUUACCAUAGUCCCACACGGCAUUGGUCCUUUCCCGUUGGGAAGUCAUGAAUAAGAGACUAUGAAGCUUGCACGUCAGAUCUUCCUCAAUUAAUCCACCAUUAGCAUGUUCGGGAUCCUCUACUGGAUGGUUAACAGCAGCAUUGGUAACUGUAUGCUGUCCAUACCCAAUUAUGCUCUGCUAAAAAUGAACUCUGCAGAAGAACCUUCCUGAGCUGUCAGUGUCUCCCGUUUUCCUAUUUUAACGCUUGUGUGUAGUGGCAGGCGACAGAUGGUGUAGAUCAGAUCGAUUUGAUUGCAUUAGGCGAUUUUUUUUUUCCUCCUCUCUCCCCCCGACUCCUUUUCUGGAAGCCCACAUUCAUCUGAGAGGCGAUCGCCGGGGACAUGGGAAGCAAGAGCAGCCGCCGAUGUGUGAAAGCAACGAGACAUGGCCAGCCAGAGGCGCCGGGGUCCCUUCACGGGGUUUGUUAACAUGGUAAUCCGGCACCAGGAGAGAAAGCUGCUUUCUGCUGCCCAGAGCCCAUUCCCCAUCACACAUCAGAUGACUCCCUGGCUUUACACACAGUUGGAGUUCUGCUCGAAACGUGGAUUUAAAGGGAAUCUGUUGCUGCGUAUGACAUCUCUUGCAAGCUCCCAGAGAGAAUUGAUGGCGCAUACAGCUAGGGAAUAGGAUACCAGAGAAGCACAGAGGAAGAAUCCAGGCAAUCACCAGGAUGGGAAGGUUCAGCGUCCACUGGAUAUGGGACAAGAUCGCUUGGCAACCCUUGUGGAUUCUCCUUCUUCUGGAGGCGAAUUAUAGUUAUGGAUUUAUUGUCCCGGUGCAGCACUUCCACCACCAGUAGCAACAGCAGCAGCUUUCUGACUCUCUUCGGUGACGGUCCUACAGCCUAAGUUUCCUGGACUAGUCCACCUUCCUUCCUUCCUCGCCAAAUGACUCAUGGAAAGCUGUUGAUCUUCAGUCUAUGGAGAGAUUCAAACAUCAGCAACUUUCUGGGGGUGCUGCUACAAGGUGAGCCUCGGACUCUGCCUGCGGUCUGUGCUCCCAGAUGACAGCCCCACGAUGGCAGAUGGAGGGACAUCCACGCACUGCACUGGGCAUUGGCUGCUCCCAGAGCUGCCACAUGCCAUGGGACCCCCAGCUGCUGGAUGCCUGACCCAGCUCCGCUGCUGCUGGAGAUGUGUUGGGGCUGGCUCAGCCCUGCUUGCUGCUGCCUGUCUGCCUUAUUCUUCUGAGUUAUGCCCCAGCCUGCUCCUGUGCUGUUGUGCUGUCCUGUUGGUGUGCCUCCGGGCUGUAUUGAGUUUUCAAUUAUCACAAUGUACAGUGCAGAUGCUAUGCAAAACAGCCAGUGUGGCUGAGCAUGCUGAACUCAGGAGAAACACAGUUAAAUAAAAGUACUACUAUAAUACCAGGAGGCUGAUUGGAACCACAAGAUACCAGUGUCAUAUCCUGUGGCUUUUAUGUUGGUUGAUGUAGAUUUCAGACAUUAGAAUCUAGCUAUCCAACAGAUAACAACUAGAGGAAAUGGAUCUGGGUAUCUUCAGUUGUGAGUAACUGAUACACACUUGCCAAUAAAUGCAGAACCUGGUAAACUGCAGAAGAAAGAAAGAAAAGAUUUAUAUUUGAGAUACCUACAAAUAUAUAUGGAUAUAUAGAGAGCUCUGACUUUAGAGAAACAAGGUGUGGUUACUUGUCAAUUCCAAAUUCAAGCAAGGAAAUAAACAGCAAGUGCAGGUCUCAAUUUCUCUAUUUGUGCAUGCAGUAACAAGCUCCCAGAUGAUAAUGAUAUUGAGAUAUCUAUGUGGGGGUAAAAGACUAUGACAAAAAAGCAAGAAAUAAGCAAUAAAUACAAUAAUGUCAGACUUUCCUGUUAUUAACUUCCAGAAAAGCUCAACAGCUGGAAUUUUAAAAUGUUUUACGUAGACAAAUGUAAAGAGAACAACACGUUAAAUGUGGUUUUUUUCCAAAGGAAAAUUAAAUAGGGCAUACAGAGAAAAUUAUUAUAUUUAGUACUCUCAGGGCAAAUUCUAGUUAAGGACUAUGAAAUAAUUUGAAAAUAGUAAUGAUUUAGCCUCACAGCUAGCUUUCAGGGAGAUAAUAAUGAUAAUUAUUAUUAUAAAUAAAUAGUAUCAUUCUUGCUUAGAAGAAUGGAAUAUUGAUGCCUAGAGAAUUCUGUAUUUGUCCAAAAUACAGAAUACAUUUUUCUGUGUUUUACUACUGUAACCAUCCUCCUCAAGAACUAUUAUAUAUUAAGAUUCUCCUUUUCAAAAUACUCUUUGAUAUACUACUCAGUUUAUCAGUUCUGAAAACCAACAAAACAAGCUUUCUUGUGAAAAAGUGCCAGUCAACAUCUCCAUUUGCAUGUGAAUUCUCUAGCAGAAACAGUUCUGGUUAAAAAAAAAAAAAAAAAAAAAAAAA